CAGACCAGGUACUCUGUUACUACUGUAGUAAUACUCUCUCCAUCAGACCAGGUACUCUGUUACUACUGUAGUAAUACUCUCUCCAUCAGACCUGGUACUCUGUUACUACUGUAGUAAUACUCUCAUCCAUCAGACCAGGUACUCUGUUACUACUGUAGUAAUACUCUCUCCAUCAGACCUGGUACUCUGUUACUACUGUAGUAAUACUCUCUCCAUCAGACCUGGUACUCUGUUACUACUGUA